GCUGGCGGCGUGCCUAACACAUGCAAGUCGUACGAGUAAACUCCGGGCUUGCUCGGAGGAGUAAAGUGGCGCACGGGUGAGUAACGCGUGGGUAACCUGCCCUUGAAUCGGGGAUAACUUCGCGAAAGCGUUGCUAAUACCGGAUAUCGUUCCAAUAACUAGGGUUGUUGGAAUGAAAGGUGACCUAUCUAUAGAAGUUGCCGUUCAGGGAGGGGCCCGCGUCCCAUUAGCUUGUUGGUAGGGUAAUGGCCUACCAAGGCAACGAUGGGUAGCUGGUCUGAGAGGAUGAUCAGCCACACUGGAACUGAAACACGGUCCAGACUCCUACGGGAGGCAGCAGUGAGGAAUUUUGCGCAGUGGGGGAAACCCUGACGCAGCAACGCCGCGUGAGUGAAGAAGGCCUUCGGGUCGUAAAGCUCUGUCAAAUGGGAAAAAAGUUUCAGGGUAAAUAGCUUUGGAAUAUGAUGGUACCAUUAUAGGAAGCACCGGCUAACUCCGUGCCA
rnacentral:rRNA from 1 species